rnacentral:rRNA from 1 species
UACAGGGGGGGCAAGCGUUGUUCGGAAUUACUGGGCGUAAAGGGCCAGUAGGCGGCCAACUAAGUCCGACGUGAAAUCCCCAGGCUUAACCUGGGGACUGCGUCGGAUACUGGAUGGCUUGAAUUCGGGAGAGGGAUGCAGAAUUCCAGGUGUAGCGGUGAAAUGCGUAGAUAUCUGGAGGAAUACCGGUGGCGAAGGCGGCAUCCUGGACCGACAUUGACGCUGAGAGACGAAAGCUAGGGGAGCGAAUGGG